CUGCUGGGUAUGUGUCACAGGCAGUUGUCACAUGAUGUCGUUUCUCACUGCUCGCAGUGUCAUUCGAGAUGCCAGAUCAAGUCACGUGGCUAAGUUUCCUCGCCCGCUCCCCUCCCGUGAGAGGACAAUCUGACAGACAAAACAUUUGUUCUUGAAACCUUCAACUAAGUUUCUACUUUGUGCUACUCUCUAAUCCAGGGCUCACUUCAAUAGUGUAGUGCUAUCUUAGUGUCAUAGUGACUCGAUUCUCUAACUUGACAGCACAAAGUGGCAUCAUUAAAAGACUAAACCAAAACAUUUCCCAAGAUUAGAUUAAAACCAAGCUAUUAGUGGCUUUAGAUCGUACCCACAGGGUCCAAUAAAUAGCCACAAGACUCUUUGCAAACAGAAGCAGAUCAGACUUGGAAGUUCUUUGGAAACAACAAAAACCUAGACGAAAGUAAAUCUGUGUUUCAAUCAGCUGCUCAAAACAUUUCAAACAUGAAGUUUGUCGUCUGCUUAGCUCUCAUGUCAUGGGCGUCACUGUCUGCUGCUGCUGAGCUAGAGGAUCUGCCUAUGUACAAGGAAUGCCUGAUGGAGUGUUUCCGCUGCGUCAAGAUCUACGGCAAGCAGAUUUACAACGGCAAGUUGUGUGCAGAGAACUGCGCGUUGACAAGUGGGGCCAGCAUUGACAACAAAUGUUAUCCUCCAGCCAAGCGUGCCAACAACAAGACACAAUUGGCAGCUCAAUGCAUUCACCUGUGUCAAGAUGGCUGUCCGUCAGAGGCGUCAGCCUGUGUGAUCAUGUGUAUAUUGUCUAACUCCAAGGUAGUGGAAUGCUAAUCAAACCAUCUACAUUUUAGCUCUAAAGUUGUGGAUUGCUAAUUAAAACAUCUACAUUAAAAAAUAAAACUAUUGCUGGAAAAGAUGAAUCUACAAUACAUGAAUAGAAUACGUAUUUAAUUUCAUAAAACUAUUAACCUAGUUAUUGUACUUGUACAAAAGAAGGAAACAGAACAACCAGGUGUACAUAACAAAUAAAUAGACAAGUCAUGUCCUCUACCUGAUAGAAAUAGACAGGUGUACAUAACAAAUGAAUAGACAAGUCAUGUCCUCUACCUGAUAGAAAUAGACAGGUGUACAUAACAAAUGAAUAGACAAGUCAUGUCCUCUACCUGAUAGAAAUAGACAGGUGUACAUAACAAAUGAAUAGACAAGUCAUGUCCUCUACCUGAUAGAAAUAGGAAGAGCAGUAAAAAUACUAUUCAAUAAUUCCUCAUUGCAAAUUCUUGAAAAUUGACUACAAUUCAAUUAGUGGAUGUUGCUUAUUUUGCUUAAAUCAUCUAAAGAUAAGCCUCCAAGACCCUAUAUUACUGUUGAAAUACUUGGGACAUACUCCUGUCUAAAUGCUGAUUCAUUAAAUAGCUAAGGUAUAGAGCCUACUUGUUGAUACUAAAAACAUGGACUUCAAAGAUUAAACAGAAAUUACAUUUCUUUGUCGGGUUUCCUUUUAUUAGACAAAAAUAAAACCAUUCCUACAUGAA